GGUGGUGCAUGGCCGUUCUUAGUUGGUGGAGCGAUUUGUCUGGUUAAUUCCGAUAACGAACGAGACUCUGGCCUAUUAAAUAGCUGGUAUAUAUUGAAAAGUUUACCACGCUUCUUAGAGGGACAACCGGCUUCUAGCCGCGUGAAAUAGAGCAAUAACAGGUCUGUGAUGCCCUUAGAUGUCCGGGGCUGCACGCGCGCUACACUGAAAGAAUCAGUAUGCGCUUUUACCUAGUUCGGAAGAACCGGGUAACCCUAGCAAAUUCUUUCGUGCUUGGGAUAGGGAAUUGCAAUUAUUUCCCUUGAACGAGGAAUUCCCAGUAAAUGCGGGUCAUAAGCUCGCGUUGAUUACGUCCCUGCCCUUUGUA
rnacentral:rRNA from 1 species